UGGGGAAUUUUGGACAAUGGGGGCAACCCUGAUCCAGCAAUGCCGCGUGUGUGAAGGAGGCCUUCGGGUUGUAAAGCACUUUUGUCCGGGAAUAAAUCGCACCUGAUAAUACCGGGUGUGGAUGACGGUACCGGAAGAAUAAGGACCGGCUAACUACGUGCCAGCAGCCGCGGUAAUACGUAGGGUCCAAGCGUUAAUCGGAAUUACUGGGCGUAAAGCGUGCGCAGGCGGUUGUGCAAGACCGAUGUGAAAUCCCCGGGCUUAACCUGGGAAUUGCAUUGGUGACUGCACGGCUAGAGUGUGUCAGAGGGGGGUAGAAUUCCACGUGUAGCAGUGAAAUGCGUAGAGAUGUGGAGGAAUACCGAUGGCGAAGGCAGCCCCCUGGGAUAACACUGACGCUCAUGCACGAAAGCGUGGGGAGCAAACAGG
rnacentral:rRNA from 1 species